rnacentral:rRNA from 1 species
UACAGAGGGUGCGAGCGUUGUCCGGAAUCACUGGGCGUAAAGGGCGCGUAGGUGGCGCCGCAAGUCCAUGGUGAAAGCUCGAUGCUCAACAUCGAGUCGGCCACGGAGACUGCGGGGCUCGAGCACUGUAGGGGCAGAUGGAAUUCCGGGUGUAGCGGUGGAAUGCGUAGAGAUCCGGAAGAACACCGGUGGCGAAGGCGGUCUGCUGGGCAGUUGCUGACACUGAGGCGCGACAGCGUGGGGGAGCAAACAGGG